UAGGGCGCUUCAGGCCCUGGUGCCGUGAAGCUGCAGUGACGAGUUUUAUCUAGAGCUAACAAAUGCGGUUUGAUUUAAGGCCUGGGGUUCCUACAUCCUGUAAUUAUUUUUCGAGGUCUGUUUCUGCUCGAGCCGUGACUUCUACCAGCUGAAAUAGCUGUGCUUGCUCCCACCGUGGCCGGGCUGCAGCUGGAGCUGUAAAAAGGUGCUUUGCACCUCUGUGGCUGUGUCUGGGGAGGAAGGGAAGCUUUGGUGUUCAACGCUUGGCUGUGGUGUAAGGUGUGCAUGCUCCCUCGUGUGAGUGAGGAGCACAGGGAAGAGUUCCAGGCUGGGCUUGGCUGUGCCUGAGCCUUCAGAGGCUCUGCUGGCUCUCCUUAUUCUGGCCCGAGCACAGCCACUACCAGCAGCACCGUGUGUAGGCUCUGUGUGGAUUGCACUGGCAGUGGAUUGAGCAAUACAAGUGUCGCUGCAUUCCAAAAAGUAAACAGCACAAAUGGGACACGGGGUGGGAAUAUUCUCCAUGCUUACAGUGUGGAGCUUUGGGGAGGAAGAUGUCUCAGAGUGUCAGCUUGGGAUUUAUUGCCUCUAUUAAAGGGAGCAGCUGUAUCUUGAGGCUUUAUGUUUGCAAAGGACAUAAGUAGAGGUUUCAGUAAAACUGGUGCUCUCAGCGAGGCAGCGUGACAGGUUGGUUUGGGAGCCUUUCUGGAAAGUAGGGAAGCAGAAAUUGGGUUCAACUCUGUUUCAUGUGCAGCAAAGACUUUGGCCUCUUAACUUCUUCACAUCACUAAGAAAUGAAGAGCCAGGGCACUUCCUAGUUUAGUUUAGUAUCCGUCCCAGUGGAGUUUUGGAUUUAGCACAGCUCCUUGAAAAGCUGCACCAGAGAUCAGCUCCUGGCAGUGACAGUGUCUGUCAGUGGUGUGCCCUGGUGCUCACACGUGUGGGUUGAUGUUCCCAUGCCAGGGGUGUGAAGUUGGUGCUUGCUCCUCUCCUCCCCAAAGGCAGCAGGAGCCCCAUUUCCUGGCUGUGAGGGGGGCCCUGAGGAGCAGGUUCCCUCUUUGGCAGCCCAUCUCCUGCUUUGAGCCCUGGGAUUUCAUCCAUUUGCUGCAUCCGGGUGCAAGAGUUGUGCUGAGGAAUGUUGAAGUUGGUUUGUCCUGUGCAGGUGUGUCUGCAGCAGAUCCAGGCUCUGGAGGAAACUCGGCCUUUUCCCUAAAUAUUAGUGGAAAACUGAAGGCUGAGACUUGAGCCGGCUGCUGCAGCAUCUGAGCUCCUAAGUGGAGAACUCUGUGCUGCCAGACAGCUGUCGAAUUGUGUCACAGAUGGGAAAAACCUGAUAACCACUAGUGUGAAUCAGCAUCUUUUAAAUCCAGCAGUUCUCAUGGCUCCAAAUGUGAUGAAUUUGGGAGAAGAACUUUGCUUUCUUGCUUUGUUAUGGACACAUCAAAAUAAAAGGAAAUUAUAAUGGUCUGGUCUUCCCUGC
rnacentral:lncRNA from 1 species